CUUCCUUAAUUUGCAAAAUGAUUACAUAUACCCUCUCUCCCUCUCUGGAUGUGUUAUCCAACACAUCUUGACAACCAUGGGCAAGGUCACCCCUCACCUCGUCUUCACUCUCGUUCUUCUCUUAAUUAUCUUGCCUGUGAGAGGAGAUGUUGCUGCCUUCGAGCCGCAACCGAGAAUCAAAUAUCUACCGCCCGGCAUGGUCAAGGGCGAUGCCAAAUCUCAAUGCGGAACGUGCAAGUGCUGCGCUACCAACAACCCCAAUAACUGUUCAAAUAUGCAGUGCUGCUACCACGUCGAAUGCGGCUAUGUCGGCCAGCCUGGCGUCGAAUGCAACAUGGUGAUCGACGCCUGCAACUGUAACUCAUGUGGUUGAUCCUUCUAAAUACAUUAGGAUAGAAUAAAUUUAGUAAUUGAAUAAAUUGAGUAGCUGGCACGGGCGAACAAGUUUGAGCGUGUUGAUUGGAUUCUCCUGUGGUACAUGUUUUGGAAUUGCAAUUUAAUAAAGCAUAGCUACCUUAAGUUUUCGCUCUUCC